ensembl:snRNA U6 U6 spliceosomal RNA
GUGCUUCAGCAGCACGUAUAUUAAAAUUGGAACGCUACAGAGAAGAUUAGCAUGGCCCCUGUGCAAGGAUGACACACAAAUUUGUGAAGCGUUCCAUGUUUUU